rnacentral:rRNA from 1 species
GACAGAGGUGCCGAGCGUUAGGCGGAAUCACUGGGCUUAAAGCGUGUGUAGGCGGCGGCGUAAGUACCUUGUGAAAUCCCACGGCUCAACCGUGGAACUGCUCGGUAUACUGCGUCGCUUGAGCCGUCUAGGGGCGACCGGAACAAACGGUGGAGCGGUGAAAUGCGUAGAUAUGUGGAGGAAUACCGAUGGCGAAGGCAGCCCCCUGGGCUAAGAUUGACGCUCAUGCACGAAAGCGUGGGGAGCAAACAGG